AUGACAAUGGUGGAUUUCAACAAUCUUGGUUACCUUGACGAACCAUUCGUCCUUGCCAAAGAUGUCGCUCAGGUUUUUUAUUUGAAGGACAUGAGUAGCAAACCGAGGAAACGGAAAGAUAAGAAAACGAUCAGUACAUCAUGCGAUGAUCCAAAGCGCCACAUUGUUCUUUCAGGGAAAAGAAACAUCGUGGGAGUGGAGGACAAGACAGACAUGUCAGAAGAUUAUAAUAUGUUUGGUGAAAUUCCGCCCUUCAAAGUGAACACCGACCCAAGCAUUAAGUUAAAUGAUGAGGAUGCUCCAUGGAUACGGCACAACCGUAAGCAAGCAGGGACGUCCAAGGGAAGAAUUGAUGUGUAA
rnacentral:rRNA from 1 species